UUGGCAAUAAACCCUAAACAAAAACAAGCCUAAAGUAAACUAAACCCUGAAGACGAACCAAAAUUCCAGAGCCAUGAAAACAGCUACUCUUAGGAAUCUCUCCCUUUACACUCGCAAUCUUCUUCUUUCUCCUCCUAAAUCAAUAACUAAUUCUAACUCAUAUUUUCCUCUGUUUGUCUCUUUAGCUCGUUCUAGACUCAGAUUCUACUCAUCUGAGUCUGAUUCGUCGGGUAAACCAAACUUUAACCAUACCCACAAGCCAAAUGGUUCUGUUGAGGAUGUGGAUGGUGUCAGCGACCAAGAGAUAAAGAAGAGGAUAGAGAAGUUCUAUCAAGGGGACGAAGGUGAGAUUCCAGCUAUCUUCGAAGCCAUUUUGAAGAGGAAAUUAGCUGGGAUUUCUGAUGAUGAUGGCUUGAUGGAAGCACUUGGACCAAAAGUUAAGGAUUCUGAUUCUGAUUCUGAUUCUGAUUCUAAUUCUUCUUCUGAUGAUGACAAAAGAAUAUAGAUUCAUGAGAUGCAAAGAACUUUGUCCAUUAAGUCACAGGAAAGAAAUUUUGUCAAUUAUAGGAAGAACAUGACCAGAAGCUGACAACUACCAGAACCAGCAGACUUCCCAAUUACACCCACAAGAACAUGCCUCAACGACUCAACAUCAUGCCAAAGAACCUCAAGAUCUCGGAUACAAAUAAUUCAUAAUAGCUCAGAAUGUUACAAAUUUGAACAUAAACUGAAAAUGACCUAUCUAAGUUUAAGAAACACAACACAGUUGUCUGAGGAGUAAGGACAAGAUGGCCCAAUAAGAUUCAUUCAAGCUAAUAAAUUAAAUCAUUUAGUAGAAUUUUUUUAGUGGUUAUUGUUAGUAUAUUAAAUGACUAUUGAAUGAAAAAUAAAUUUUUUUUUUGUAAGCUUUUAUUUUUAUAACAUAAAUAAUGUGUAAAAAGAAGUGCUUCGAAUCAUUGCUAUUUGACCCGGUCUGAUUC